rnacentral:rRNA from 1 species
GAUGAACGCUGGCGGCGUGCCUAAUACAUGCAAGUCGAGCGAAUGGAUUAAGAGCUUGCUCUUAUGAAGUUAGCGGCGGACGGGUGAGUAACACGUGGGUAACCUGCCCAUAAGACUGGGAUAACUCCGGGAAACCGGGGCUAAUACCGGAUAACAUUUUGAACCGCAUGGUUCGAAAUUGAAAGGCGGCUGCGGCUGUCACUUAUGGAUGGACCCGCGUCGCAUUAGCUAGUUGGUGAGGUAACGGCUCACCAAGGCAACGAUGCGUAGCCGACCUGAGAGGGUGAUCGGCCACACUGGGAUUGAGACACGGCCCAGACUCCUACGGGAGGCAGCAGUAGGGAAUCUUCCGCAAUGGACGAAAGUCUGACGGAGCAACGCCGCGUGAGUGAUGAAGGCUUUCGGGUCAUAAAACUCUGUUGUUAGGGAAGAACAAGUGCUAGUUGAAUAAGCUGACACCUUGACGGUACCUAACCAGAAAGCCACGGCUAACUACGUGCCAGCCGCCGCCGUAA